rnacentral:rRNA from 1 species
AUGCCCACGCCCCGAUCUCUCAUCCUCCUCCUCCUCCUCGCCAGCCCCAUCUUCAUCCUCCUCUCCCACCCCUCCUCCGCCUCUGUCUCCCACCCAGACCUCAUCCUGCCCAAGGUGGUCAACGACAUCGAGGCCCACGUGGUCGUCCUCACCGCCGCCAACUUCUCCUCCAUCUUCGCCGUCCGCCGCCAUGUCGUGGUCGACUUCUAUGCACCCUGGUGUUACUGGUCCCGCAAACUCGCGCCCGAGUAUGCCGCGACCGCGUCGCACCUGGCCGACAAGGGGCUCGAUGUCGCACUCGCCAAGGUCGACGCCACCCAGGAACGUCAGCUCGCGCGCGCUCACGGCGUCGAGGGAUACCCCACCGUCCUCUUCUUCGUGGAUGGCAUGCCCAAGCACUACCCCUACUACGGCGAGAGGACCAAGGACGCCAUGGUCGUUUGGGUAUCCCAGAGGCUGGUCCCUGAGGUGCAGAACGUCAGCACCAUCUACGAAGCCGAGAAGAUCAUCACCGGCCACAGCGUGGCUGUGCUCGCCUUCCUCGACUCCCUCUCGGGUGCUCACAGUGAUGAGCUUGCUGCUGCCUCAACGCUGGAAGAUAACAGCAGCUUGUACCGGGCUAUCAACUUCUACCAGACUACCAGUCCUGAUGUAGCCAAGCUGUUCCACGUUGACCCGAAAGCAAAGCGCCCCUCACUAGUCAUGCUCAAGAAACAGGAGGAGGUCAAGUUGACCGUAUAUGAUGGCGAGUUCAGAGCGUCUCCGAUUGCUGAGUUUGUUUCGGCCAACAAAAUCCCAGUGAUCACAUACCACCAUCACACAGGAAGCCGCCCCUCCGAUAUUUGA